rnacentral:sRNA from 1 species
GGUAACAGAGCCUCCUGUUUCAAAACAUCUUGUAUAAAUUAUGAAGUUGGUUGUACCAUGCCUAGCCAACAAAUAGAAUGUGUGUAAGAACUGCAGAGGAACCUUCUGUGAUGCCUGUUCAACAAAUGAACUGCCUCUUCCUUCAAGUAUCAAGCUUGAGCGAGUUUGCAAUCCCUGUCACAAGCAUCUGAUGAAGCAAUAUUUUACCAGCCCAUCAUAAGACUGGAGGCCAAGACCUAGACCAAAACGUUUACGCAGGCUCCUCUGUACCUGUGUUUUAGCUGUCAGGAUCUCAUAGAGCCCAGUUCUUAGAGUCAACUAAAGAGUUGAUAGGAAUUUACUAGGUCCAGGGAGA